rnacentral:tRNA from 1 species
GGUUGUAGCUCAAUGGUAGAGCACUUGCCUAGCAAGUGUGAGGCACUGGGUUCGAUCCCCAACACCA